rnacentral:rRNA from 1 species
UGGGGAAUAUUGGACAAUGGGCGAAAGCCUGAUCCAGCCAUGCCGCGUGUGUGAAGAAGGCCUUAUGGUUGUAAAGCACUUUAAGUUGGGAGGAAGGGCAGUAAGCGAAUACCUUGCUGUUUUGACGUUACCGACAGAAUAAGCACCGGCUAACUCUGUGCCAGCAGCCGCGGUAAUACAGAGGGUGCAAGCGUUAAUCGGAAUUACUGGGCGUAAAGCGCGCGUAGGUGGUUCGUUAAGUUGAAUGUGAAAGCCCCGGGCUCAACCUGGGAACUGCAUCCAAAACUGGCGAGCUAGAGUAGGGCAGAGGGUGGUGGAAUUUCCUGUGUAGCGGUGAAAUGCGUAGAUAUAGGAAGGAACACCAGUGGCGAAGGCGACCACCUGGGCUCAUACUGACACUGAGGUGCGAAAGCGUGGGGAGCAAACAGG